AGAUGUGAGUGUGAUCUGGCUGUGACAUCUGUCACCCCAUUGAUCACCAGGGUUGAUUCGGCUGACCUGGCUGGCAGGCGGGUGUCCCCUUCCUCCCUCACCACUCCAUGUGUAUCCCUCCCAUAGCUGUGCGCUCAGUUGAAGAGGACAGCCUUCCCCAAAUAGAGACUGACCGGUCUUCGGUUGAGGGUAUAAGAGUAGCUGCGCUCCCCUGCUAGAACCUCCAAGCAAGCUCUCAAGAUAGUCCUAUUUGUCACAAAUACAUAAGUUUUAAUUUAUGCACGAAUCCUGCAUUAGAAUCUAUUC
ensembl:misc_RNA 7SK 7SK RNA